UGCAUUGUGUAGUAAUCUUACCAUAGUGCCUUCCAUUCAUUAUCAGGUAGCACAUUAUACUAUGAUG
rnacentral:lncRNA from 1 species